GUGAAACCGCGAAUGGCUCAUUACAUCAGUUAUGGUUCCUUAGAUCGUACCCACAUUUACUUGGAUAACUGUGGUAAUUCUAGAGCUAAUACAUGCAAACAGAGUUUCGACCAGAGAUGGGAGAAAUGCUUUUAUUAGAUCAAAACCAAUCGGCGGCGGGCGCGCUCGCGCGCGCCUCGCGYGCGACUUGGUGACUCUGAAUAACUUUUGGCUGAUCGCACGGUCCAGUACCGGCGACGCAUCUUUCAAAUGUCUGCCUUAUCAACUGUCGAUGGUAGUUUCUGCGACUACCAUGGUUGUUACGGGUAACGGGGAAUCAGGGUUCGAUUCCGGAGAGGGAGCCUGAGAAACGGCUACCACAUCCAAGGAAGGCAGCAGGCGCGCAAAUUACCCACUCCCGGCACGGGGAGGUAGUGACGAAAAAUAACGAUACGGGACUCAUCCGAGGCCCCGUAAUCGGAAUGAGUACACUUUAAAUCCUUUAACGAGGAUCAAUUGGAGGGCAAGUCUGGUGCCAGCAGCCGCGGUAAUUCCAGCUCCAAUAGCGUAUAUUAAAGUUGUUGCGGUUAAAAAGCUCGUAGUUGAAUCUGUGUCCCGCGCUGUCGGUUCGCCGCUCGCGUGUUCAACUGGCAUGUCUCGCGGACGUCCUGCCGGUGGGCUCAGCCGUCAAAAAUCCUACCGCGGUGCCUCUUCACCGAGUGUCGNGUGGGCCGGUACGUUUAGCUUUGACAAAUUAGAGUGCUUAAAGCAGGCUAAAUUUAUUCCUGAAUAUUGUGUGCAUGGGAUAAUGGAAUAGGACCUCGGUUCUAUUUUGUUGGUUUUCGGAACUCCGAGGUAAUGAUUAAUAGGGACAACUGGGGGCAUUCGUAUUGCGACGUUAGAGGUGAAAUUCUUGGAUCGUCGCAAGACGGACAGAAGCGAAAGCAUUUGCCAAAUGUGUUUUCAUCAAUCAAGAACGAAAGUUAGAGGUUCGAAGGCGAUCAGAUACCGCCCUAGUUCUAACCAUAAACGAUGCCAGCUAGCGAUCCGCCGAAGUUCCUCCGAUGACUCGGCGGGCAGCUU
rnacentral:rRNA from 1 species